rnacentral:rRNA from 1 species
AGAGUUUGAUCCUGGCUCAGGACGAACGCUGGCGGCGUGCCUAACACAUGCAAGUCGAACGGAGUUAAGUGCUUCGGUAUUUAACUUAGUGGCGAACGGGUGAGUAACGCGUGAGGAACCUGCCUUUCAGUGGGGGACAACAGUUGGAAACGACUGCUAAUACCGCAUGAUACUUUUUGGAGGCAUCUCUGAAAAGUCAAAGCUUUAUGUGCUGAAAGAUGGUCUCGCGUCUGAUUAGCUAGUUGGUGAGGUAACGGCUCACCAAGGCGACGAUCAGUAGCCGGUCUGAGAGGAUGAACGGCCACAUUGGGACUGAGAUACGGCCCAGACUCCUACGGGAGGCAGCAGUGGGGAAUAUUGGGCAAUGGGGGAAACCCUGACCCAGCAACGCCGCGUGAAGGAAGAAGGCCUUCGGGUUGUAAACUUCUUUUACCAGGGACGAAGAACGUGACGGUACCUGGAGAAAAAGCAACGGCUAACUACGUGCCAGCAGCCGCGGUAAUACGUAGGUGGCAAGCGUUGUCCGGAUUUACUGGGUGUAAAGGGCGUGUAGGCGGAGCUGCAAGUCAGAUGUGAAAUCUAGGGGCUCAACCCCUAAACUGCAUUUGAAACUGUAGCCCUUGAGUAUCGGAGAGGCAAGCGGAAUUCCUAGUGUAGCGGUGAAAGGCGUAGAUAUCGAGAGGAACACUCGUGGCGAAGGCGGGUUCCUGGACAUUAACUGACGCUGAGGCACGAAGGCCAGGGGAGCGAAAGGGAUUAGAUACCCCUGUAGUCCUGGCAGUAAACGGUGCACGCUUGGUG